CUUAAGCAUAUCAAUAAGCGGAGGAAAAGAAACUAACAAGGAUUCCCCUAGUAACUGCGAGUGAAGCGGGAAAAGCUCAAAUUUGAAAUCUGGCGGUCUUUGAUCGUCCGAGUUGUAAUCUAGAGAAGUUGUUACCUGUGCAGGACCGUGUACAAGUCUCCUGGAAUGGGGCAUCAUAGAGGGUGAGAAUCCCGUCUUUGACAUGGACUACCUGCAUGUUGUGGUGCGCUCUCAAAGAGUCGAGUUGUUUGGGAAUGCAGCUCAAAACGGGUGGUAAAUGCCAUCUAAAGCUAAAUAUUGGCGAGAGACCGAUAGCGAACAAGUACCGUGAGGGAAAGAUGAAAAGAACUUUGGAAAGAGAGUUAAACAGUACGUGAAAUUGCUGAAAGGGAAACGCUUGAAGUCAGUCGCAUCGACCAGAAAUCAGCCUUGCUUUUGUGAGGUGUACUUUCUGUUUGAUGGGUCAGCAUCAAUUUCGAUCGCUGGAUAAAGUCUCUGGGAAUGUGGCAUCUUCGGAUGUGUUAUAGCCCAUUGUCACAUGCAGCGGUUGGGAUUGAGGRACUCAGCACGCCGAAAGGCCAGGUUUCGACCAUGUUCGUGCUUAGGAUGCUGGCAUAAUGGCUUUAAUCGACCCGUCUUGAAACACGGACCAAGGAGUCUAACAUGCCUGCGAGUGUUUGGGUGGAAAACCCAUGCGCGCAAUGAAAGUGAAAGUUGAGAUCCCUCUAGUAGGUGAGCAUCGACGCCCGGACCAGACCUUUUGUGACGGAUCCGCGGUAGAGCAUGCAUGUUGGGACCCGAAAGAUGGUGAACUAUGCCUGAAUAGGGUGAAGCCAGAGGAAACUCUGGUGGAGGCUCGUAGCGAUUCUGACGUGCAAAUCGAUCGUCAAAUUUGGGUAUAGGGGCGAAAGACUAAUCGAACCAUCUAGUAGCUGGUUCCUGC
rnacentral:rRNA from 1 species